AUUGAACGCUGGCGGCAUGCCUUACACAUGCAAGUCGAACGGCAGCACGGGAGCAAUCCUGGUGGCGAGUGGCGAACGGGUGAGUAAUAUAUCGGAACGUGCCCAGUCGUGGGGAUAACGUAGCGAAAGCUACGCUAAUACCGCAUACGAUCUAUGGAUGAAAGCGGGGGAUCGCAAGACCUCGCGCGAUUGGAGCGGCCGAUAUCAGAUUAGGUAGUUGGUGAGGUAAAGGCUCACCAAGCCGACGAUCUGUAGCUGGUCUGAGAGGACGACCAGCCACACUGGGACUGAGACACGGCCCAGACUCCUACGGGAGGCAGCAGUGGGGGAAUUUUGGACAAUGGGCGCAAGCCUGAUCCAGCAAUGCCGCGUGCAGGAUGAAGGCCUUGG
rnacentral:rRNA from 1 species